rnacentral:rRNA from 1 species
GACGUAGGGCGCAAGCGUUGUCCGGAUUUAUUGGGCGUAAAGAGCUCGUAGGCGGCUUGUUGCGUCGUCCGUGAAAACCUGUGGCUCAACUACAGGCUUGCGGUCGAUACGGGCGGGCUGGAGUUCGGUAGGGGAGACUGGAAUUCCUGGUGUAGCGGUGAAAUGCGCAGAUAUCAGGAAGAACACUCGUGGCGAAGGCGGCUCUCUGGAACGCAACUGACGCUGAGACGCGAAAGCGUGGGGAGCAAACAGG